GGUUUAAUUCGACGCAACGCGAAGAACCUUACCAGCUCUUGACAUCUGUCGGACUUCGCAGAGAUGCGUUGGUGCCCGCAAGGGAACGGCAAGACAGGUGCUGCAUGGCUGUCGUCAGCUCGUGUCGUGAGAUGUUGGGUUAAGUCCCGCAACGAGCGCAACCCUCGCCUCCUAGUUGCCAGCAUGUUUGGGUGGGCACUCUAGAGGAACUGCCGGUGACAAGACCGGAGGAAGGUGGGGAUGACGUCAAGUCCUCAUGGCCCUUAUGAGCUGGGCUACACACGUGCUACAAUGGCGGUGACAAUGGGAAGCCAGGUCGCGAGGCCGAGCGGAUCCCAAAAAGCCGUCUCAGUUCAGAUUGCACUCUGCAACUCGGGUGCAUGAAGGUGGAAUCGCUAGUAAUCGCGGAUCAGCAUGCCCGCGGUCGAAUACGUUCCGGGCCUU
rnacentral:rRNA from 1 species